rnacentral:rRNA from 1 species
AGCGUACACGGUGGAUGCCCUGGCAGUCAGAGGCGAUGAAGGACGUGCUAAUCUGCGAUAAGCGUCGGUAAGGUGAUAUGAACCGUUAUAACCGGCGAUUUCCGAAUGGGGAAACCCAGUGUGUUUCGACACACUAUCAUUAACUGAAUCCAUAGGUUAAUGAGGCGAACCGGGGGAACUGAAACAUCUAAGUACCCCGAGGAAAAGAAAUCAACCGAGAUUCCCCCAGUAGCGGCGAGCGAACGGGGAGCAGCCCAGAGCCUGAAUCAGUGUGUGUGUUAGUGGAAGCGUCUGGAAAGGCGCGCGAUACAGGGUGACAGCCCCGUACACAAAAAUGCACAUGCUGUGAGCUCGAUGAGUAGGGCGGGACACGUGGUAUCCUGUCUGAAUAUGGGGGGACCAUCCUCCAAGGCUAAAUACUCCUGACUGACCGAUAGUGAACCAGUACCGUGAGGGAAAGGCGAAAAGAACCCCGGCGAGGGGAGUGAAAAAGAACCUGAAACCGUGUACGUACAAGCAGUGGGAGCACGCUUAGGCGUGUGACUGCGUACCUUUUGUAUAAUGGGUCAGCGACUUAUAUUCUGUAGCAAGGUUAACCGAAUAGGGGAGCCGAAGGGAAACCGAGUCUUAACUGGGCGUUAAGUUGCAGGGUAUAGACCCGAAACCCGGUGAUCUAGCCAUGGGCAGGUUGAAGGUUGGGUAACACUAACUGGAGGACCGAACCGACUAAUGUUGAAAAAUUAGCGGAUGACUUGUGGCUGGGGGUGAAAGGCCAAUCAAACCGGGAGAUAGCUGGUUCUCCCCGAAAGCUAUUUAGGUAGCGCCUCGUGAAUUCAUCUCCGGGGGUAGAGCACUGUUUCGGCAAGGGGGUCAUCCCGACUUACCAACCCGAUGCAAACUGCGAAUACCGGAGAAUGUUAUCACGGGAGACACACGGCGGGUGCUAACGUCCGUCGUGAAGAGGGAAACAACCCAGACCGCCAGCUAAGGUCCCAAAGUCAUGGUUAAGUGGGAAACGAUGUGGGAAGGCCCAGACAGCCAGGAUGUUGGCUUAGAAGCAGCCAUCAUUUAAAGAAAGCGUAAUAGCUCACUGGUCGAGUCGGCCUGCGCGGAAGAUGUAACGGGGCUAAACCAUGCACCGAAGCUGCGGCAGCGACGCUGAUGCGUUGUUGGGUAGGGGAGCGUUCUGUAAGCCUGUGAAGGUGUGCUGUGAGGCAUGCUGGAGGUAUCAGAAGUGCGAAUGCUGACAUAAGUAACGAUAAAGCGGGUGAAAAGCCCGCUCGCCGGAAGACCAAGGGUUCCUGUCCAACGUUAAUCGGGGCAGGGUGAGUCGACCCCUAAGGCGAGGCCGAAAGGCGUAGUCGAUGGGAAACAGGUUAAUAUUCCUGUACUUGGUGUUACUGCGAAGGGGGGACGGAGAAGGCUAUGUUGGCCGGGCGACGGUUGUCCCGGUUUAAGCGUGUAGGCUGGUUUUCCAGGCAAAUCCGGAAAAUCAAGGCUGAGGCGUGAUGACGAGGCACUACGGUGCUGAAGCAACAAAUGCCCUGCUUCCAGGAAAAGCCUCUAAGCAUCAGGUAACAUCAAAUCGUACCCCAAACCGACACAGGUGGUCAGGUAGAGAAUACCAAGGCGCUUGAGAGAACUCGGGUGAAGGAACUAGGCAAAAUGGUGCCGUAACUUCGGGAGAAGGCACGCUGAUAUGUAGGUGAAGUCCCUUGCGGAUGGAGCUGAAAUCAGUCGAAGAUACCAGCUGGCUGCAACUGUUUAUUAAAAACACAGCACUGUGCAAACACGAAAGUGGACGUAUACGGUGUGACGCCUGCCCGGUGCCGGAAGGUUAAUUGAUGGGGUUAGCGGUAACGCGAAGCUCUUGAUCGAAGCCCCGGUAAACGGCGGCCGUAACUAUAACGGUCCUAAGGUAGCGAAAUUCCUUGUCGGGUAAGUUCCGACCUGCACGAAUGGCGUAAUGAUGGCCAGGCUGUCUCCACCCGAGACUCAGUGAAAUUGAACUCGCUGUGAAGAUGCAGUGUACCCGCGGCAAGACGGAAAGACCCCGUGAACCUUUACUAUAGCUUGACACUGAACAUUGAGCCUUGAUGUGUAGGAUAGGUGGGAGGCUUUGAAGUGUGGACGCCAGUCUGCAUGGAGCCGACCUUGAAAUACCACCCUUUAAUGUUUGAUGUUCUAACGUUGACCCGUAAUCCGGGUUGCGGACAGUGUCUGGUGGGUAGUUUGACUGGGGCGGUCUCCUCCUAAAGAGUAACGGAGGAGCACGAAGGUUGGCUAAUCCUGGUCGGACAUCAGGAGGUUAGUGCAAUGGCAUAAGCCAGCUUGACUGCGAGCGUGACGGCGCGAGCAGGUGCGAAAGCAGGUCAUAGUGAUCCGGUGGUUCUGAAUGGAAGGGCCAUCGCUCAACGGAUAAAAGGUACUCCGGGGAUAACAGGCUGAUACCGCCCAAGAGUUCAUAUCGACGGCGGUGUUUGGCACCUCGAUGUCGGCUCAUCACAUCCUGGGGCUGAAGUAGGUCCCAAGGGUAUGGCUGUUCGCCAUUUAAAGUGGUACGCGAGCUGGGUUUAGAACGUCGUGAGACAGUUCGGUCCCUAUCUGCCGUGGGCGCUGGAGAACUGAGGGGGGCUGCUCCUAGUACGAGAGGACCGGAGUGGACGCAUCACUGGUGUUCGGGUUGUCAUGCCAAUGGCACUGCCCGGUAGCUAAAUGCGGAAGAGAUAAGUGCUGAAAGCAUCUAAGCACGAAACUUGCCCCGAGAUGAGUUCUCCCUGACUCCUUGA